rnacentral:misc_RNA from 1 species
GAUGAAGAACGUAGCGAAAUGCGAUAAGUAGUGUGAAUUGCAGAAUUCAGCGAAUCAUCGAAUCUUUGAACGCACAUUGCGCCCUUCGGUUAUUCCCUAGGGCAUGCCUGUUCGAGCGUCAUUUCAACCUUCAAGCCUGGCUUGGUGUUGGGCGCUGUCCCGCCUCCGCGCGCGGACUCGCCCCAAAUGAAUUGGCAGUCGCACCCUCCGAGCCGCGAGCGCAGCACAAGUCGCGCGGGCGGAACUCUGGGGGGACGGACGCUCCACAAGACCCUUUCUCAGUCUUGACCUCGGAUCAGGUAGGGAUACCCGCUGAACUUAAGCAUAUCAAUAAGCGGAGGA